GUGCGUAACAUGCGAUCUACGUACAAUAUGCAUGGCAGAUUGUUCCCAGGAACAGACAAUCUUUUGUUAAAACGUUAUUUCAAAUUAAUUCUAAAGGUCUCCUUUUUCUAAUAUAUGCACCAUCAAUAUUUCACGCACUACGGUUCAGCGGCAUAAUGUGCAAUUGAAAAGGCAUUCAAAUUUUCACAAUAUGGUUGAUUUCUAAAGGUCUCCUUUUU